GUCCUGAUGGUGGGAGAGUCUACAAAUAUCACAUCAGCAUCUGCCCCAGUACCUGCUCCACCGCCUGCCCACUAUAUGAGGUCAUAUUUCCUCGGCCCUACAUCCUUUCAUAUUCGGACGCACCUCCGUAAUAUGUACUUCUUCUUCCCUGUGAUCGGCGGUGUGUGGAGCUACACGGGGCAAAAGAAGUUUACAGAAGUUUAAAGAAGAUUACAUACAGAGGAAUUCUCUGUAUGGAGGAGUGGGCCAACAUCCCUGCUGCAGUGUGUGGCAACUUGGUCACGAACUACAAGAAACCUCUGUAAAGUUUUCUGUACCAAAUAUGAACUUCUGUUUUUUUUUUCUGUUAUUUAAAAAUGAAUUAAUGCUUAAUUAUUACUAUACUUUCUUAUGAUGACAUUCAUUUUAUUUUAUAUAAUCCACAAUAAUAAUAAUAAAAAUAACGUUCUUUCCAGCA